rnacentral:rRNA from 1 species
UUCGCCGCCCGCGACUCGGCGAGAAGUCCAUUGAACCUUAUCAUUUAGAGGAAGGAGAAGUCGUAACAAGGUUUCCGUAUUUGAACCUGCGGAAGGAUCAUUG